GACGAACGCUGGCGGCGUGCCUAAUACAUGCAAGUAGAACGCUGAAGGAGGAGCUUGCUUCUCUGGAUGAGUUGCGAACGGGUGAGUAACGCGUAGGUAACCUGCCUGGUAGCGGGGGAUAACUAUUGGAAACGAUAGCUAAUACCGCAUAAUAGUAGAUGUUGCAUGACAUUUGCUUAAAAGGUGCAAUUGCAUCACUACCAGAUGGACCUGCGUUGUAUUAGCUAGUUGGUGGGGUAACGGCUCACCAAGGCGACGAUACAUAGCCGACCUGAGAGGGUGAUCGGCCACACUGGGACUGAGACACGGCCCAGACUCCUACGGGAGGCAGCAGUAGGGAAUCUUCGGCAAUGGACGGAAGUCUGACCGAGCAACGCCGCGUGAGUGAAGAAGGUUGUCGGAUCGUAAAGCUCGGUUGUAAGAGAAGAACGAGUGUGAGAGUGGAAAGUUCACACUGUGACGGUAUCUUACCAGAAAGGGACGGCUAACUACGUG
rnacentral:rRNA from 1 species